CACGUAGGGGGCAAGCGUUGUCCGGAUUUAUUGGGCGUAAAGAGCUCGUAGGCGGCUCGGUAAGUCAGGUGUGAAACCUCCAGGCUCAACCUGGAGACGCCACUUGAUACUGCUGUGGCUAGAGUCCGGUAGGGGAGCGUGGAAUUCCCAGUGUAGCGGUGAAAUGCGCAGAUAUUGGGAGGAACACCAGCGGCGAAGGCGGCGCUCUGGGCCGGAACUGACGCUGAGGAGCGAAAGCGUGGGGAGCGAACAGG
rnacentral:rRNA from 1 species